AUUCUUGAUGGCGACCGGCGUACGGGUGAGUAACGCGUAUCCAACCUGCCCAUCACUACGGGAUAACCCGUUGAAAGGCGGACUAAUACCGUAUGAUAUCGUUUGAUGGCAUCAGAUGACGAUUAAAGGUUUAGCGGUGAUGGAUGGGGAUGCGUCUGAUUAGGUAGUUGGUAAGGUAACGGCUUACCAAGCCUUCGAUCAGUAGGGGUUCUGAGAGGAAGGUCCCCCACAUUGGAACUGAGACACGGUCCAAACUCCUACGGGAGGCAGCAGUGAGGAAUAUUGGUCAAUGGGCGAGAGCCUGAACCAGCCAAGUAGCGUGCAGGAUGACGGCCCUAUGGGUUGUAAACUGCUUUUAUACGGGGAUAAAUGACGCCACGUGUGGUGUUUUGCAGGUACCGUAUGAAUAAGGACCGGCUAAUUCCGUGCCAGCAGCCGCGGUAAUACGGAAGGUCCGGGCGUUAUCCGGAUUUAUUGGGUUUAAAGGGAGCGUAGGCCGUCUGUCAAGCGUGCUGUGAAAUGUACCGGCUCAACCGGUGACGUGCAGCGCGAACUGUCGGACUUGAGUAUGCAGGAAGUAGGCGGAAUUCAUGGUGUAGCGGUGAAAUGCUUAGAUAUCAUGAAGAACUCCGAUUGCGAAGGCAGCUUACUGUAGCAUUACUGACGCUGAUGCUCGAAAGUGUGGGUAUCGAACAGGAUUAGAUACCCUGGUAGUCCACACGGGUAACGAUGGAUGCUCGUUGUCAGUCAUUUUUGA
rnacentral:rRNA from 1 species